rnacentral:rRNA from 1 species
GCCGAGCGGUAUUUGUUCUUCGGAACAGAGAGAGCGGCGUACGGGUGCGGAACACGUGUGCAACCUGCCUUUAUCUGGGGGAUAGCCUUUCGAAAGGAAGAUUAAUACCCCAUAAUAUAUUGAAUGGCAUCAUUCGAUAUUGAAAACUCCGGUGGAUAGAGAUGGGCACGCGCAAGAUUAGAUAGUUGGUGAGGUAACGGCUCACCAAGUCUGCGAUCUUUAGGGGGCCUGAGAGGGUGAUCCCCCACACUGGUACUGAGACACGGACCAGACUCCUACGGGAGGCAGCAGUGAGGAAUAUUGGACAAUGGGUGAGAGCCUGAUCCAGCCAUCCCGCGUGAAGGACGACGGCCCUAUGGGUUGUAAACUUCUUUUGUAUAGGGAUAAACCUACUCUCGUGAGAGUAGCUGAAGGUACUAUACGAAUAAGCACCGGCUAACUCCGUGCCAGCAGCCGCGGUAAUACGGAGGGUGCAAGCGUUAUCCGGAUUUAUUGGGUUUAAAGGGUCCGUAGGCGGAUCUGUAAGUCAGUGGUGAAAUCUCACAGCUUAACUGUGAAACUGCCAUUGAUACUGCAGGUCUUGAGUGUUAUUGAAGUAGCUGGAAUAAGUAGUGUAGCGGUGAAAUGCAUAGAUAUUACUUAGAACACCAAUUGCGAAGGCAGGUUACUAAGCAACAACUGACGCUGAUGGACGAAAGCGUGGGGAGCGAACAGGAUUAGAUACCCUGGUAGUCCACGCCGUAAACGAUGCUAACUCGUUUUUGGGGCUUCGGCUUCAGAGACUAAGCGAAAGUGAUAAGUUAGCCACCUGGGGAGUACGAACGCAAGUUUGAAACUCAAAGGAAUUGACGGGGGCCCGCACAAGCGGUGGAUUAUGUGGUUUAAUUCGAUGAUACGCGAGGAACCUUACCAAGGCUUAAAUGGGAAAUGACAGGUUUAGAAAUAGACUUUUCUUCGGACAUUUUUCAAGGUGCUGCAUGGUUGUCGUCAGCUCGUGCCGUGAGGUGUUAGGUUAAGUCCUGCAACGAGCGCAACCCCUGUCACUAGUUGCCAUCAUUAAGUUGGGGACUCUAGUGAGACUGCCUACGCAAGUAGAGAGGAAGGUGGGGAUGACGUCAAAUCAUCACGGCCCUUACGCCUUGGGCCACACACGUAAUACAAUGGCCAGUACAGAGGGCAGCUACACAGCGAUGUGAUGCAAAUCUCGAAAGCUGGUCUCAGUUCGGAUUGGAGUCUGCAACUCGACUCUAUGAAGCUGGAAUCGCUAGUAAUCGCGCAUCAGCCAUGGCGCGGUGAAUACGUUCCCGGGCCUUGUACACACCGCCCGUCAAGCCAUGGAAGUCUGGGGUACCUGAAGUCGGUGACCGUAAU